UACAGAGGGGGCAAGCGUUGUUCGGAAUUACUGGGCGUAAAGGGCGCGUAGGCGGCCUGCUAAGUCGAACGUGAAAUCCCUGGGCUCAACCCAGGAACUGCGUCCGAUACUGGUUGGCUUGAAUUCGGGAGAGGGAUGCGGAAUUCCAGGUGUAGCGGUGAAAUGCGUAGAUAUCGAGAGGAACACCUGCGGCGAAGGCGGGUUGCUGGGCUGACACCGACGCUGAUGCGCGAAAGCUAGGGGAGCGAACGGG
rnacentral:rRNA from 1 species